rnacentral:rRNA from 1 species
GAUGAACGCUAGCGAUAGGCUUAACACAUGCAAGUCGAGGGGCAGCAUGGUCUUAGCUUGCUAAGACUGAUGGCGACCGGCGCACGGGUGCGUAACGCGUAUGCAACUUGCCUCACAGAGGGGGAUAACCCGUCGAAAGACGGACUAAUACCGCGUACACUCUAUGUUGGGCAUCCAAUGUAGAGGAAAUGAAAUUCGCUGUGAGAUAGGCAUGCGUCCCAUUAGCUAGUUGGUGAGGUAACGGCUCACCAAGGCGACGAUGGGUAGGGGAACUGAGAGGUUGAACCCCCACACUGGUACUGAGACACGGACCAGACUCCUACGGGAGGCAGCAGUGAGGAAUAUUGGUCAAUGGGCGAGAGCCUGAACCAGCCAAGUCGCGUGAAGGAUGACUGUCUUAUGGAUUGUAAACUUCUUUUAUACGGGAAUAACAAGAGUCACGUG